rnacentral:rRNA from 1 species
CUUACACAUGCAGUCGAGCGGGGAAGGUAGCUUGCUACUUAACCUAGCGGCGGACGGGUGAGUAAUGCUUAGGAAUCUGCCUAUUAGUGGGGGACAACAUCUCGAAAGGGAUGCUAAUACCGCAUACGUCCUACGGGAGAAAGCAGGGGACCUUCGGGCCUUGCGCUAAUAGAUGAGCCUAAGUCGGAUUAGCUAGUUGGUGGGGUAAAGGCCUACCAAGGCGACGAUCUGUAGCGGGUCUGAGAGGAUGAUCCGCCACACUGGGACUGAGACACGGCCCAGACUCCUACGGGAGGCAGCAGUGGGGAAUAUUGGACAAUGGGGGGAACCCUGAUCCAGCCAUGCCGCGUGAGUGAAGAAGGCCUUUUGGUUGUAAAGCACUUUAAGCGAGGAGGAGGCUACCGAGAUUAAUACUCUUGGAUAGUGGACGUUACUCGCAGAAUAAGCACCGGCUAACUCUGUGCCAGCAGCCGCGGUAAUACAGAGGGUGCAAGCGUUAAUCGGAUUUACUGGGCGUAAAGCGCGCGUAGGUGGCCAAUUAAGUCAAAUGUGAAAUCCCCGAGCUUAACUUGGGAAUUGCAUUCGAUACUGGUUGGCUAGAGUAUGGGAGAGGAUGGUAGAAUUCCAGGUGUAGCGGUGAAAUGCGUAGAGAUCUGGAGGAAUACCGAUGGCGAACGCAGCCAUCUGGCCUAAUACUGACACUGAGGUGCGAAAGCAUGGGGAGCAAACAGGA